CAUCCUUUUUCUUCAUCAUAACUAAGAACCCGUGACCUCCUUGUACAAGCUGAGAGAAUACUUCACGGAAAUGUUUAGCCACACCCUUGAACGUGCGCUCAAUUGAUUCAUCCUUCCUCAUAUCCAAAACAGAUAUAAGUUCCUUGAUUUUCUCAUCCCCAGCAUCCAGUUCAGCUUGCCUUCUUUGGAGUUCUUCUCUUUGCUCAGUAAAGUUUACAUAUUGAUCAAGUGCCUUUUUAUUUACAUGGCUGAACUGUUGCAGCUGCUCGUUACACUUGUGCAGCAUCUUAUAUAAUUCUUUUACGUUCCUUCUUUUGUACGUCUCAAAGGCAUCAGAAGAUAAAGGACCCAGUUCCCGAAUUUUCUUAGAGUAUUCUUCUUGCUUUGCAAGAUAGGUGUUCCGUUUACUUAGCAUCUGUUCCAGUUCUCUUGCUUCAUCCUGAAGUGUAUUCUGAUACUUAUCUUCAAGAGCCUUCAGGUUAUCCUUUUCCUGUUUGAUCUGCUUGAGCCUCUUGUUUCGUUCAUCUAUAUUUCGAGAAACCCUUGUAAGCUCUUUGGUGACAUGAUCAACUAGUGAGUCCGCAUCCUUAAGUUCCUGAUACUUGCUCUCAACUUCAGCCUGUAGCAUAUCAACGUCGACAGAAGAAUUCAUCGCCAUUAACUCUUGCUUUCGUCUUUCAAGAUUUGUUGACAGAUUCAUCUCAAGCUCCUCUUUUCUAGUUUCAGUCUCUAUCCGAUUUGCCCUGCAAGCAAUCAGCUGCUCCUUCAGGGCCGUGAUUUCAGGGUUCAAACGUGACAAAGAAUCUCGCUCUUCCGGCGUUAAAUGAUCAACAAGUUCUGUUCCCAUUUCAUCUUGUUUCAUAGCUAUACUAGCUCUGAGCUGAUCUAUUUGACUCAGAAUAUUACCAAGCAGUUUCUCCUUCUUUUGAAGAGCUUUUAAGAUGGAUUGUUUCUGUCUUUCAGCAUUAAGAAUGUCUUGUUUAAGCUGUUCUAACUCAGACUUGUCGUGACCCAGGCCAGCAUCAUUUUUCUGCUGCUCAGCCACAAGUUCAUUAAUUUUCUGGUCUAUCUCUUGAAGUUUAUAUCUAACUUCCUCAAGUUCACGCUCCUUCAGGUUGAUGGACACUGUAUUCUGUUUGAUGGUGCUCAUAAACCUCAGUUUUGAGCGUCUAUGAUCAUAAAAUCCACCAGUCAUGCCACCUUUUUUACUAACUUGGUCACCUUCCAGAGUGAUACAGUCAAGCCCAUCGGUACGAGCAACCCUGGUGGCAACAUCCAGAUUUCGACAAAUUACAGUUCUUGCAAACACCUGCUCAAAUGCCCUACUAUAUGAAUCAGAAAACCUCAAUUUCUUCAGAAGCGGAAUCACAUCAGAGCCCUGGGGAUAAUUAACAUAUGGUUUUUUAACCCUGUUCAAUGGAAUAAAUGUAACUCGUCCACCUUUUUGGGCAUUGAGGUGUCUAAUAAUUUUAGUUGAUGUUUCAUCAUUAUCAACCACCACAUGGAAUAAGCUGUUUCCAGCAGUAACUUCAACAGCUGUAAAAAACUUGUCCUCGCAUUCAAGCAACUCAAAAAUUGGUCCAAACACUCCAGAGAUUUCAUACUCUCUGCAAAUCCUCCUUACAGAAUUCAGACCCCUUCUAAUAUCACCAGGAGUUGCAUGAUCUAGGCUUUUCUCAGCCUUCACAACUUCAGCUUUAAGCCGUUCAAUUUCAGUAGUCAGUUCAGUCUCCUGUGUCCACAGAGACUUCCGCUCAUUAUGCAGCUUGUCUCUAUCCACUUUAUACUGAUUAUAAGCAUUUCGAUAACCAGAUAUGAAGGUUUCUUUUUUGUCCACUUCAACUUUACGAACUUUGAUUAUAUCAUCUUGAUCUCUCAUGUCUUUUUUAAGCUGAUCAAUUUCAUCUUGAAGUUUUUUCUCCUGCAUUAAGGUUGAAGAUAAAACUCGCUCAUAUUCAUCAAUUUCUUUUUGAAGCCAUUUGUCCCGAGCAGCUUUGCUUGCAAAUUGGGUGGCACGGCCUUGUUUCUGAUAAAGAAUGCUAAGUCUCUUUUCACGAUCCAUAAUCCCUCUAGUGAUGUCCUCCUCCUCUUUUACUUGUUUCUCAUGCAAAGGCUUGAUAUCAUUGAGUGAAUUCUUUGUUUCUUGAACUUCUCGCUCCAGAAUCAUGAGUUGUUUCUGAGCAUCAUCUUUAGCUUUAAUAUUUGUGGACAUCUUCUCUUGAAGGUCUUUGUAAUCAAGAUCAAGCUGGGCUCGCUUUCUAAUAGCCUCUGUCCGCUGUUUCUCUACUGCUUCUUUCUCCUUGCUUAAAAUUUGAAUUUCUUUUGUCAGAUCUUUGGACAACUUCUCCAGCUCCUUGGACUUUUCAUGAGCCUCCAGCACACUCUCAUACAUCUUAGUAGAGUUCUCUGCAACUUUGUUUCGAGCCUCUUCUACCUCGUUCAAUUUCUGACGUGCAUCAUGAAGUUCUUUGUCAUAAAUAGUGUAUUCCAGAGAUUUACGCUGCUUGUCAAGCUGCUGAUACUUUUUCAGUUCCUCCUUCUCUUGUUCAAGCUCAUUCAAUCUCUCGUCCAAGUAUUGAACAACUUGAAUAAUUUGCUUUCUCUUGUUACCAGUUUCCUGCAUGAUUUUUAAACUUUCUCGACGCCUCUCCUCAUAAACACGUGUCCCUCCAAUUUCCUUCAGUAGAUCAAGUCGUUCUGAAUCCUUCAUUAAUGUCAAUGAUGCUAUCUUUCCCUGCUGCACAACAUAAUAAGGAUUAGACCGAGAAAACCCAGCACUUUCCAGCAAAUUCUGGACUUCUGUCUUCGUGAUAUGUUUUCCAUCCAAGAAAUAUUCAUCCUUCUUGAGACCGAUUGUUCUUCUCAGCCGUACUUCCUCCUUAUCAACCGGCAUUCGAUUGUCCGAAUUAUCAAAUACAAUUUCCACAAAAGCAGAUAACACUUGGUGACCUGCUCCUUCAUGAAGCAAAGCCUGUCUUUCUUCACUGCGCAAAUUGUGAAAGAGGUCGCUUAUGACAAAACGGAUUGCAUGGAAGAAGUUAGACUUGCCAGAUCCAUUUGCACCAACAACACAGUUAACUUUUGGACUGAAAUCUUCAGUGGCUACUUGUUCUCGAUAACUCUUAUACCCUUCAAUGAUGACCUGUUUUAUAUACAUGUUGACAGUCCCUGACUACUCUAUUUCUAGAGCGAGCGACCGAGCUAGUCGUUAAUGGAGGUUCUGCGACUGUGUAAGUGGGGUGUAUGGACUUUGGAGGGAAUGGGAAG
rnacentral:misc_RNA from 1 species